GACGAACGCUGGCGGCGUGCCUAACACAUGCAAGUCGAGCGGGGAUUUAAGUGGAAGUUCUUCGGAAUGGAGAUUUAAAUUCUAGCGGCGGACGGGUGAGUAACGCGUGAACAAUCUGUCCCGGACAGGGGGAUAACACUUGGAAACAGGUGCUAAUACCGCAUAAGACCACGGCCUCGCAUGGGGCUGCGGUAAAAGGAGCAAUCCGGUUCGGGGUGAGUUCGCGUCCGAUUAGCUAGUUGGUGAGGUAACGGCCCACCAAGGCGACGAUCGGUAGCCGGCCUGAGAGGGUGAACGGCCACAUUGGAACUGAGAGACGGUCCAAACUCCUACGGGAGGCAGCAGUGGGGAAUAUUGGGCAAUGGGCGAAAGCCUGACCCAGCAACGCCGCGUGAGGGAAGAAGGUUUUCGGAUUGUAAACCUCUGUCCUAUGGGACGAAGGAAGUGACGGUACCAGAGGAGGAAGCCCCGGCUAACUACGUG
rnacentral:rRNA from 1 species